UUGAACGCUGGCGGCAUGCUUUACACAUGCAAGUCGAGCGGCAGCGCGGGGGCAACCCUGGCGGCGAGCGGCGAACGGGUGAGUAAUGCAUCGGAACGUAUCCUCGAGUGGGGGAUAACCCAGCGAAAGUUGGGCUAAUACCGCAUGAGCUCUGAGGAGGCAAGCGGGGGACCUGCGAGGGCCUCGCGCUGGAGGAGCGGCCGAUGUCCGAUUAGCUAGUUGGUGGGGUAAAGGCUUACCAAGGCGACGAUCGGUAGCUGGUCUGAGAGGAUGAUCAGCCACACUGGGACUGAGACACGGCCCAGACUCCUACGGGAGGCAGCAGUGGGGAAUUUUGGACAACGGGGGCAACCCUGAUCCAGCCAUGCCGCGUGAGUGAAGAAGGCCUUCGGGUUGUAAAGCUCUUUCGGACGGAACGAAAUGGGCGGGACUAAUACUCCUGUCUGAUGACGGUACCGUAAGAAGAAGCACCGGCUAACUACGUG
rnacentral:rRNA from 1 species